GGAGAAUGUUAUCACGGGAGACACACGGCGGGUGCUAACGUCCGUCGUGAAGAGGGAAACAACCCAGACCGCCAGCUAAGGUCCCAAAGUCAUGGUUAAGUGGGAAACGAUGUGGGAAGGCCCAGACAGCCAGGAUGUUGGCUUAGAAGCAGCCAUCAUUUAAAGAAAGCGUAAUAGCUCACUGGUCGAGUCGGCCUGCGCGGAAGAUGUAACGGGGCUAAACCAUGCACCGAAGCUGCGGCAGCGACGCUGAUGCGUUGUUGGGUAGGGGAGCGUUCUGUAAGCCUGCGAAGGUGUGCUGUGAGGCAUGCUGGAGGUAUCAGAAGUGCGAAUGCUGACAUAAGUAACGAUAAAGCGGGUGAAAAGCCCGCUCGCCGGAAGACCAAGGGUUCCUGUCCAACGUUAAUCGGGGCAGGGUGAGUCGACCCCUAAGGCGAGGCCGAAAGGCGUAGUCGAUGGGAAACAGGUUAAUAUUCCUGUACUUGGUGUUACUGCGAAGGGGGGACGGAGAAGGCUAUGUUGGCCGGGCGACGGUUGUCCCGGUUUAAGCGUGUAGGCUGGU
rnacentral:rRNA from 1 species